AAUAAGUUUGUUUUUUUGUCCACUUUCUUCCUCACUUCACUUGUAGUAUCUUUCAGUGAGCCUUCUUUAUCCAGUGAUAGGUUAGGCAUCUUAAUAACUCUUCUAUCUCUGAAAGAGUGAAUCACAGAACGAGCACCACCCAAACACAGCCUUUCUAACUAACUUGGAAGUUCUAAUUCCGCCAUGGCAGUACCAUCGUCACUGUUUUCUCUCUCAUUCCCCUUCGACCCUCAAAUCCAAAUCCAAAACCUCUCUUUCUCUCUCUCUCUGCCUUCUCACUUCUCUCUCUUCACCUCCACCAAACCCCGUUUCCCCGCUUUCAAACUCUCCUCUUCCCACUCUUCCUCUUCCCCUCUCACCACCGGCUUCCUCACCGACGACGACCUCCACCGCCUCAACUCCCUCGAAUCCUUCCUCUACCGCUGCGACCUCCCCUCCGGCUCCCUCUCCGUCCGCCUCAUGCGCCCCCACGAGACCCGUUCGACCGUACUCCUCCUCGCCCACUCCUUCGCCGAGUCCUUGCUCAUUCCCGCCGCUUACGUCAACCUCCUGGCUUUCCUCAUCAACCAGUACCUCCUCCAACGCCUGACGCUCCUGCCCAACACCGCCACGCUCGUCGCCUUCUAUACUCAAACACCAUCGCCACCUACUGCUGCUGCUGCUAAAGAAGACGAGGAAGAAUCAUUACAAGAAGAACCACUACAAGAAGACGAUGGAGCGCCCUUGGCUGGAACUGUCGAGAUCUGUUUCAACAGAAGAGGCGCCAAUGCUUCCGUUCCCUCGCCCACCCCUCCGAGGGAUUCACCCUACAUUUGUAACAUGGCCGUGCAAAAAUCUCUCAGGAGGAGGGGCAUUGGCUGGCAUCUUCUAAAGGCAAGUGAGGAAUUAAUUUCUCAGAUGAGUUCCUCAAAAGAGGUUUACUUGCAUUGCAGAAUGAUUGAUGAAGCUCCAUUUAAAAUGUACACAAAAGCAGAUUACAAAAUUGUAAAGACAGAUAGUAUUUUAGUCCUGCUGAUGUUGCAGAGACGCAAACACUUGAUGUGCAAGGAACUCCCUCUUUCAAGUACGACUACAGAAUCAGAUCUGUCAGAGUAUGAUAAACAAAAGACUAUAUGAAUGUGUAUAUGGGUUGCAAAAUAUUUUUCAAGCAUUGAUAGCAAGAUGGACAUGGUGGUUUUAAGUUUGACUGGAGAAUAGAGAGUGGUAUCAUGCAUCCUUAUUUAUUUCUCUUAUCUUUAGGACAGGGACUGAAUGUUACAGGUAAAUUACAGCAUACUGUUUUCUAAAUUUUUUAUUUCCUUGUCUGGCUUAGACAGUCAUGUAAUAAUGGAUAAGAUUGUGCAGCUGGUAAUGGUAACAUAACAUGUGAUAAAAUAUACCAAGUCAGGUACAUGGUUCUUUAUUUAAGAACCAGAUAUUAGAUGCAUGAAAAUUACAAAUCUUUAUUAACUCUAUGUUUCUUUAAUAUAAUUAAAACAAUGAUUUAUAUGUGUAUGGACAUUCUUGAAAUUUGAAGGUGACAUAUGGAACAUGUUGAACCAUACCAAUCAUAUGCCCAAAUAAAAUAUUAAUGUUAGAAAGUCGGGGAACAUUUUCUGGGGAAGUGGGUUUAUUUUGUUGAGGUCUCUUUAACACUCUUGCCAUAUGACCAAAAGGGGUGCGAGUGACAUGAGGGCAUGACUGGUGGUGGAGAAGAGAUAAUGGAAAUGCUCUUUCUUCCUCGGCCAUGAAGGAUUGAGUUCCUCAUCUCGUAAAAUCAGCCAAGUUGUUAUGCUUUGUACUGAUCAUAUUAAUGUGUUUGGCAUAUAUCUGAAUGGAAGAACUGUUGGAGUUCACUUUUUAUUAUCAUCAAGAUAAUUUUGGUGUCUAAACUGUGAUUUCACUAGAUCAUUCUCAAAGUAUGCAUAACCAUACCCAAGCCUUUUGAAUUUGUAUAGAUAAUCGUUAGGAGUUCUUUUACACAUUCUGCCAUGGACGGUCUCUCAUUACUCUCAGUUCGAACACAUCUUGAUGCCAGAUUGGCAAACAUGACUAUAGACUGAAUGGUGUAGGAAUUUCGAGCCAUCUCUGGAUCUAUCACCUUCCGAAGCUUUUUGCGGUCAUUCAGAAUGUUCCUCACCUGCAUAGGAAUGAUAAUGAAUUAAAGUCUUCCAGCUUUAUGAAUCUAGUGAUUCUCAAUGAUAAGGCUCUAUAUAACAGAACAAUAAAACAGGGAUAUUAACUAGGAUUCCAAGGUUUUCGCUCUAGAAAAGUACAACAGCAUGGAAAGAAAAUCUAGAAACAGGUUACGACAGGGUCCCAAAUGCCAAGGGAACACGCAACCUGUCCCAAGUCACUCAACAAUUUCAUAAACCUCUCAUAUUUCCUCUUCCUCACGUUUAUUUCACAUUCUUGUCAUGCAUGAUACCAGAAUCUUCCUCUCCAAUAGAAUUGUGCCAGCUGGCCUGUUUGUUAACAACCUAAAUAGCCUCUUGCAUGGUAUGCUGUUCCUCGCCCUUCUCAUUUCCCCUCCUCUUUCAUGCGUUCCAGUUUGUUUCCGAGGUUCAUUCCUUUCUGCUAAGGACACAGCCCAUGUUGUUUCUUAUUCCUACUUUAAACUUAGGCUAUGCGUCCCAGUUUGUUUCCGAUAUUCAUUCCACACUACUAGCAGAGGUCAAAUAUGAUUGGUAGUGGUUGGAUGAAUCUACAAUUCUUGAACAUGUGUGUGACGGGGGUUGGGGGUAUUUCAAGUGAAAAUACUAUCUUGUUAAGAGGAGAGCUGAGAUUGAGCAUUGAAUGUCUCAUGGCUGGUGAACGUUACAAGUUUUCUAUAACUAAAGUCACAUCACUCUUACGAUAACUAUUUCUCUCACUUUACACAUACAAAUAUUUCUAGUAAGAAAGUUACUUUUUUGAGAGUGAGAGGUUAACCGUUCAUAGAUCAUCAAGACUAAAAGGUUUUUAGGACAUGUAUUUUUAAUAUUGACCAUUUAUUAUAAGAUCUAACGGUUCUAAUAUUUAUUUUUGUGACUCAUUAAACAAGAGUUCUCACUUGAUUAUUUUUUAAAUGCAUCAAUGACAACAACCUAGCCUUUUCCCACCUAUUAGUUUAUCAAACAGUUCUAUAAUAUUUUUUGAUCAUGUCCGUAGACAACUCUUGACUAUUGCAUCUUUAAUGGUUUUGCUUGUAGUUUCUCCCAGCCUUUCUCUGCCUCCAAUGAUUAAACUAUCCUCUAUCUGAUGUACUGUCGUCACUAAGACUUUCUCCCAAUACCACCUUUUUUUUCUCAAAUUCAUUACUAUUAUUAUUAUUAAUAUUAUCUAAUAAGAUUAUUAUAAAAAAAUAGCGCCUAGUAACCUUUUAAUGAAAUAUAAAAAAAUAUAGUACUGAGUUUCGGGGCUUAUAUGUUGUCUUUACAUUCAUAAGGAUCGACGCUGAAAGUAUGUCCUACCUGUAGUACAAGGUUUUGAUCGUUGGGACCUUGGUUUAGAUCCACUGCUCGGCGUCCAGUCAAAAGCUCCAAAAGAACAACACCAAAAGCAUAAACAUCACUUUGUAGAGUGAGUUUUCCAGUCUGUUGUGAAAUGAAAUAUUUAACAAUGUUAGUGUAAGAACACGUAUUUAGCAUUUCGCUGCCACUAGAUAUAAGAUUGCAAGAUAGCACUCUGGGAUAGACACAUCUGAUUUGAGAAAUAAAACUGCUUCUUAUGCUGCAUUCUUAGAUGAUGGAAUGAAUGAUUUAUUUGGCAAUAUCAAUUUGGGUAACAAUAUUUGGUUGUAAGUAUCGCGGGCUGAAUUGAAUCAUGCUAAUUUAUGCUAAAAAUUCCCCUAACAGCAUAAAAAAGCCGCGUUAUAUAACUGUGAUGAGAAAAUGCAUAGGUAUACAAGACUUUAGGAAUUUAAGCAUUUAGGUGAAGACAGAGAAACAAUUUUAAUAACUUGUAAAGACACCGCCCAUGAAGUCCUCCAGGCUGGAAAUGUUGAUCAGGAUUGAGGGAAGAAAUUGCUUUGAACUUAUACAUGGAAUGUUAUUUACUAGAACAUGUCCAUGGGUGGUAUGGGUUUUGCUCCUGAAACCUCUUGAUCUAAAAGCAUGGGCUAUUAUAAAAAGGCCUCUUCCUAUGGUUAGACAAACGUUAAAAUCAAAUGACUUGUUAAGUCUAAUGUUGGGCUUCUGGUUAUAACAAAAUUCUCUGAAUCAUUUAGUAGUAAAUAACCUAAUAAACCAUAUAAGAAAACUGAAAGACUUUUUCGGGCCUUAGGCUUCUAAUGCGAAUCAAAAUUUCAAGGGUUAUACUAUUUUUCUUAUGUUGGUGUUGAAUUUGCUGACCUAAUUUGCAUGGGUGAUUUAUUUUUUGGUGGCCUAAACUGCUAACAAGUAACUAGUAUGUACUGCUUUGGUGUUGUUCAACCAUUGAUAUACCCUGCUCUGGAUUAAGAUCUCCAUAUUCACAUAUGGUUGAAUAAGUAUGCAUGAGAUGAAAAGGAUUUGAAAAUUUGGGUAUAUUGCGCAAAUGACCUACUUUGUAGCAAUAACUCGAUGUUAACAUGUGGAGCUGUUUUCAUCUUGUGCACAUUAUACUGGAAUAAUUGCACUAGUAUAAUGUGCACAGUACAUUUACCCUUGCUGCAAAGCAAAAUUUCAUUUUACCUUAAUAGUGUAUACUACUAUCUUAAGGCAUUGAAAAUCGAAAAAAUGAAGUAUUGCUUUUUUUAAAAUAUCUUUAUGGUAUAGAUGCAUACCGAUGUAUACUCAGGAUCAAAAUAGCCAAAGGUACCAAGUACUCUGGCAGUCACAUGUGUCUCUUGUCCUUCUGGCAUUAACUUGGCGAGACCAAAAUCAGAUAUCUACAAAAGAUGUAAAUUUUAUCUGUACAUAUGAUUGUGAUAAUGAAUUGUUGAAGUCACUAUAGAGACUCUAUUUACCUUUGCUUCAAAGUUGUCAUCUAAGAGAAUAUUGGUCGAUUUGAAAUCCCUAUGAACAAUAGGAAUUCCAACAUCAGAACUUGAGUGAAGAUAAGCAAGCCCUUUUGCAGCUCCCAGUGCAACUUGGAGUCUUCGAGGCCAAUCCAUGUUUCUCUCCCCAAUUCCUAAAAGUUUCCAUUACGCAUAUAUUCAUAUACUAGGAAUCUAUGCUUUCCAUCAGCACAGUAGCCUAUCAAAGAAACAAGAUUUGGGUGGUCAAGUCUGCUUAAGAUAUCAACUUCGACUCGGAACUCACGCUCCCCCUCUGCUGCUUUAAUUGCUGGCAACUCCAUUUUCUUGAUUGCUACAACCUUCAGAAGGAGACUUGUUGUAUUAGUAUGUAUUCAUCUGUAUCAAAUUCACUAAUUUUGAGCAUUUUAUAAGAAACAUGAUUUCUGUAUGAAAGCUAUAACCGACGUUACAAAGUCUUGUGAACUAUGAUGAAUUCAAAUUCCUAAGGGCAAUAAACUUCUGUGUUACCUCUCC